GACGAACGCUGGCGGCGUGCUUAACACAUGCAAGUCGAACGGAAAGGCCCUGCUUUUGUGGGGUGCUCGAGUGGCGAACGGGUGAGUAACACGUGAGUAACCUGCCCUUGACUUUGGGAUAACUUCAGGAAACUGGGGCUAAUACCGGAUAGGAGCUCCUGCUGCAUGGUGGGGGUUGGAAAGUUUCGGCGGUUGGGGAUGGACUCGCGGCUUAUCAGCUUGUUGGUGGGGUAGUGGCUUACCAAGGCUUUGACGGGUAGCCGGCCUGAGAGGGUGACCGGCCACAGUGGGACUGAGAUACGGCCCAGACUCCUACGGGAGGCAGCAGUGGGGAAUAUUGCACAAUGGGCGGAAGCCUGAUGCAGCAACGCCGCGUGCGGGAUGACGGCCUUCGGGUUGUAAACCGCUUUCGCCUGUGACGAAGCGUGAGUGACGGCAAUGGGUAAAGAAGCACCGGCUAACUACGUG
rnacentral:rRNA from 1 species